rnacentral:rRNA from 1 species
UACGGAGGGGGCUAGCGUUGUUCGGAAUUACUGGGCGUAAAGCGCACGUAGGCGGCUUUGUAAGUUAGAGGUGAAAGCCCGGGGCUCAACUCCGGAAUUGCCUUUAAGACUGCAUCGCUCGAAUUGUGGAGAGGUGAGUGGAAUUCCGAGUGUAGAGGUGAAAUUCGUAGAUAUUCGGAAGAACACCAGUGGCGAAGGCGACUCACUGACAUGUAUGACGCUGAGGUGCGAAAGCGUGGGAGCAACAGG